CCUACGGGGUGCUGCAGUGGGGAAUAUUGGACAAUGGGCGAAAGCCUGAUCCAGCCAUGCCGCGUGUGUGAAGAAGGCCUUCGGGUUGUAAAGCACUUUCAGUGGGGAAGAAAGCCUUGGGGCUAAUACCCUCGAGGAAGGACAUCACCCACAGAAGAAGCACCGGCUAACUCCGUGCCAGCAGCCGCGGUAAUACGGAGGGUGCGAGCGUUAAUCGGAAUUACUGGGCGUAAAGCGCGCGUAGGCGGUCUGAUAAGCCGGUUGUGAAAGCCCCGGGCUCAACCUGGGAACGGCAUCCGGAACUGUCAGGCUAGAGUGCAGGAGAGGAAGGUAGAAUUCCCGGUGUAGCGGUGAAAUGCGUAGAGAGCGGGAGGAAUACCAGUGGCGAAGGCGGCCUUCUGGACUGACACUGACGCUGAGGUGCGAAAGCGUGGGUAGCAAACAGGAUUAGAUACCCGAGUAGUC
rnacentral:rRNA from 1 species